GGGGGCGACCUUGGUUUCGACGGGGGUUACAAAGCAAAUACGGGCAUACCGAGUUUUCAGAGACUCGUAAAACACUGAACGAAAAUAGUCGCAAACGACGAAACUUACGCUUUAGCCGCUUAAGGCUAGCCGUUGCAGCAGUUGGUCAAUGGGCUGUGUAGAGUCAAAUCUACGGCAACGUCAUUUUACAUUGGCUGGUUUUGAGCUGGGUUACUUAGUUCAAAAUGAGAUUUAAGGUAGCUGGUUCUCUGAGAGCCCGUCUGUCGGCGUGAUGAGAAUGAGAUUUCCAAAUUGGCAAGACUAAGUAUGUAGAACGUUUUGUAGAGGGCUUUCGGACGGGGGUUCAAUUCCCCCCGCCUCCACCA
rnacentral:tmRNA from 1 species